UACGUAGGUGGCAAGCGUUGUCCGGAUUUAUUGUGUUUAAAGGGUGCGUAGGCGGUUUUGUAAGUCAGUGGUGAAAUAUGUCAGCUUAACUGAGAGGGUGCCAUUGAUACUGCAGAAAUUGAGUACAGAUGAGGUACGCGGAAUUGAGGGUGUAGCGGUGAAAUGCUUAGAUAUCGUCAAGAACACCUAUAGCGAAGGCAGCUUACUAGUCUGUACCUUACGCUGGGGCACGAAAGUGUGGGGAUCAAACAGG
rnacentral:rRNA from 1 species